rnacentral:tRNA from 1 species
GGCAGAAUACCAUAAUAUUUAGGGGUAUGGGCUCUAAAGCCAUACCACCUUGGUUUGAAUCCUAGUUCCACCA